rnacentral:rRNA from 1 species
GACGAACGCUGGCGGCGUGCUUAACACAUGCAAGUCGAACGGAAAGGCCCUGCUUUUGUGGGGUGCUCGAGUGGCGAACGGGUGAGUAACACGUGAGUAACCUGCCCUUGACUUUGGGAUAACUUCAGGAAACUGGGUCUAAUAUCGGAUAGGAGCUCCUGCUGCAUGGUGGGGGUUGGAAAGUUCCGGCGGUGCGGGAUGGAGUCGCGGCUUAUCAGCUUGUUGGUGGGGUAGUGGCUUACCAAGGCUUUGACGGGUAGCCGGCAUGGGAAGUGGACCGGCCCCCAUAGGCCUGCGGUACGGACCAGACUGCUACGGGAGGCAAAAGUGGGGAGUAUUGCACAGUGGGGCGGAGCCUGAUGCAGCGACGCCGCGUUCGGGAUGACGGCCUUCGGGUUGUGAACCGCUUUCGCCUGUGACGGGGCGUGCGUGACGGUAAUGUAUAAAGAAGCACCGGCUAACUACGUG